GGAGGCGCUUCCGUGGCUGGUGCCCGGCCCGGUCUUCAAAACCGGUGAGCGGCGGGUCCCCCGUCGUUGGUGGGUUCGAUUCCCAUGCGUCUCCGCCA
rnacentral:tRNA from 1 species